rnacentral:rRNA from 1 species
AUGGUGUGGAAUUAUUUUUGGGGUUCAGAGGAUGGUAAAAGGAAAACCCACUGGUAUGCUUGGACUAAAAUGACUAGGCUAAAAGGACAUGGAGGUCUAGGUUUCAGAGAUUUUUGCCUAUUUAACCAAGCUUUGCUUGCGAGGCAGGCAUGGCGUCUCCUGGUCUUUCUAGAUAGCUUGUGUGCGCGGGUCUUAAAAGAAAAAUAUUAUCCCAACGAGCAUCUGGAGGACAUUGUUUUCUCAGGUAAUCCUUCUUCCACUUGGCAUGUUAUUAGUCAUGGUCUUGAUUUAUUAAAGAAAAGUCUUGUUUGGAGAAUUGCAAAUGGGCAGAAUGUUCGAAUAUGGCAUGACAGAUGGAUAGCUCGUGUUCCCAUGGGUGGCCUAAUAUCACAAAAAGGGACAUGUCGUAUCCGUUGGGUUUCAUUCUGGAUCAUAAUGGAGGUUGGGACGAUGUUAAAUUGCAGCAAUUUUUUCUCCGUGUAG